UACGAAGGGGGCUAGCGUUGCUCGGAAUCACUGGGCGUAAAGCGCACGUAGGCGGCUUUGUAAGUUAGGGGUGAAAGCCCGGAGCUCAACUCCGGAAUUGCCUUUAAGACUGCAUCGCUUGAAUCCGGGAGAGGUGAGUGGAAUUCCGAGUGUAGAGGUGAAAUUCGUAGAUAUUCGGAAGAACACCAGUGGCGAAGGCGGCUCACUGGACCGGUAUUGACGCUGAGGUGCGAAAGCGUGGGGAGCAAACAGG
rnacentral:rRNA from 1 species